rnacentral:lncRNA from 1 species
AAGUCCAAUAAUGUAUUUCCCUUUGCUUGCUCCAUCAUGUGCUUCCAACGCUUCCUACAAUACCAAAACAAUAACACAUUGAUCAGCAAAUUAUAGACACCAGGGUUUCAAAGAUCAGGAUCAAGAAUUUAGAAACAGAAUGUUCUAGAUCACUUGCUUCAAUCUCAAUAAGAACCAAAACAAAAUUGUAAAAAAGGUUCAAACUUUUUUACAAUAGAGACUUAAAAACAGAAACCUCAUGAUUAAGGACAUGCAAAAAACCCAGCAUAACGACCAAUUAUCUCCAAACGAAACACACAACACACAGAUUAGUCAUAUAUUAAGACGAGCACCACAGAAUCUGUAGCAGCACAAAAUAUUUAAAGAGUCAUUGCACUUGAAAGCUAGCAAGCUGGACUAAAAUAAGAUCAUGUAAUUCGUAACCACAUCAGGAUUCUAAACUGUUUACCAUGGAAUUCAUACAUAACCUUAUAAGUAGUAUGAAUUUUAAUUGUAUCAAGAGAUUAGUGAUUUAGCACCAAAUCACGAAUGAGGUUUUUCAUUUUUUUUUUCUAAAACAUUGAGGAAGGAGACAAAGCUAGGUUAACGAUGGGUAAAACGCAAAUCCGACAAAAGAGGGAAGAACCCAGUAAACAAUCAAAAGCAAAAAACAAAGCAAAGGAGGAGAGAAAGAGAGUACCCUCAUCUCCUGGUUUCCGAAGAAAGUAUAGCUUGCGAAAAGUUUGACCCAUCUCUCACCACCAGAAGCUUAAACCACCCACAAACACAGAGCAGAUGGUGACGAGGACAAUUUUGCGGUGGAGAAGACGGUGAAAUCGUCGGUUUCGAUUUCGAUUUCCACGGUGUGAGAGAGGAGGAGAAGACAAAUCGACGUGGGGGAGAAAAAUAAAAAUGGAAAUGUUUUCGACAAAUAAUGUUAUGGAAAAACAAAUAAUGUUAUGAAAAAAAAUUAUUAACGCCCUAUCACAACUAUCCACGUGGCCUAAGACUUGCCCACCAAAACUUCUUCGCUUCAAACCGAAUGGACCUUAAUUUUACACUAUUCCCAUUAUUU